CAAAGGGCGAAACCGGAUGCAGCAACGCCGCGUGAGCUGAUGAAGGCUUUCGGAGUCGGUAAAGCUCUUUGAUCAGGGAAUGAUAACUGACACGUACCUGAUAAACAGGCCAUCGUGUGUAACGUACCUGCCAACAACCGCGGUAAUACGAACGUGCCAGCAGCCGCGGUAAUACGA
rnacentral:rRNA from 1 species